AGGACGAACGCUGGCGGCGUGCUUAACACAUGCAAGUCGAGCGAGAGCCAGUUGAGGGGUAACCCUCGGCUGGGGACAGCGGCGAACGGGUGCGUAACACGUGGGCAACCUGCCCCUGACACUGGGAUAACCCCGGGAAACCGGAGCUAAUACCGGAUACUCUCGGCCGAUCACAUGGCUGGCCGAGGAAAGGUCCGCCGGUCAGGGGAUGGGCCCGCGGCCUAUCAGCUUGUUGGUGGGGUAACGGCCUACCAAGGCGACGACGGGUAGCUGGUCUGAGAGGACGACCAGCCACACUGGAACUGAGAUACGGUCCAGACUCCUACGGGAGGCAGCAGUGGGGAAUAUUGCACAAUGGGCGAAAGCCUGAUGCAGCGACGCCGCGUGAGGGAUGAAGGCCUUCGGGUCGUAAACCUCUUUCGGCAGGGACGAAGCGAUCAGUGACGGUACCUGCAGAAGAAGCCCGGCUAACUACGUGCCAGCAGCCGC
rnacentral:rRNA from 1 species